AUCGCGCUGAAGUAUGUUCGAGUGUCCAUGUUUUCUGAUACGUUUGGUUUUAAUUCGUUAUUUGAUGCUAUAAAAAGGGGGUGAGACGUCAUAAUUGGCAGCUGUGAUUACCGGCGUCUUGCACUCCACUCAUUGGUUUGGGUGGGUGCCCU